rnacentral:rRNA from 1 species
UACGAAGGGGGCUAGCGUUGUUCGGAAUUACUGGGCGUAAAGGGCGCGUAGGCGGCGACUCAAGUCAGGCGUGAAAGCCCCGGGCUCAACCUGGGAAUUGCGCUUGAUACUGAAUUGCUUGAGUUCGGGAGAGGAGAGUGGAAUUCCCAGUGUAGAGGUGAAAUUCGUAGAUAUUGGGAAGAACACCGGUGGCGAAGGCGGCUCUCUGGACCGAUACUGACGCUGAGGCGCGAAAGCGUGGGGAGCAAACAGG